GGGGUUGUGGCUCAGUGGUAGAGCUCUUGCCUGGCAUGUGUGAGGCACUGGGUUCAAUUCUCAGCACCA
rnacentral:tRNA from 1 species